rfam:Pedobacter ginsenosidimutans strain KACC 14530 contig40, whole genome shotgun sequence.
UACUUAUCCAGAAAGACUGAGGGAAGGGCCCUAAGACGUCUGAGCAACCUAUACACUUGUAAAAGGUGCUAAUUCCUUUCUACCCAAGGGUGGAGAAGAUAAGUU